rnacentral:RNase_P_RNA from 1 species
AGUAAGACAGAUGGUCGCGGCUGCAGAACCGAAAGGCUGCAGGUGAGGAAAGUCCGGGCUUCACAGGGCAGGAUGCCAGAUAACGUCUGGUGGAGGCGACUCCAAGGACAGUGCAACAGAAAUGUACCGCCCGGUUUACCGGGUAAGGGUGGAAGGGCAGUGUAAGAGACUACCGCCCGGCUGGUAACAGCCGGGGCACAUGUAAACCCCAUCCGAAGCAAGACCGAACAGAGAGCGCAAGGCGGCCCGUCUGCUCUCGGGUAGGUCGCUUGAGCCUGCUGGCGACAGCAGGACUAGAUAGAUGACCAUUCAACGACAUAACCCGGCUUACCGUUUUGCUCA